AGAGCGAACGCUGGCGGCAGGCCUAACACAUGCAAGUCGAACGGAUCCUUCGGGAUUAGUGGCGGACGGGUGAGUAACACGUGGGAACGUGCCUUUUGGUUCGGAAUAGCUCCUGGAAACGGGUGGUAAUGCCGAAUGUGCCCUUCGGGGGAAAGAUUUAUCGCCAUUAGAGCGGCCCGCGUCUGAUUAGCUAGUUGGUGAGGUAAAGGCUCACCAAGGCGACGAUCAGUAGCUGGUCUGAGAGGAUGACCAGCCACAUUGGGACUGAGACACGGUCCAGACUCCUACGGGAGGCAGCAGUGGGGAAUAUUGGACAAUGGGGGCAACCCUGAUCCAGCGACGCCGCGUGUGUGAAGAAGGCCUGCGGGUUGUAAAGCACUUUUAGUGGGACAAAAACUACGGACUAAUAUUCUGUGGUCUUGAUUUAACCCAAAGAAAAGCACCGGCUAACUCUGUGCCAGUAGCCGC
rnacentral:rRNA from 1 species